UCUUGUGCAGAAAUAGGAGACUGUCCUGUCACACAUCCCAGGAACUGUGCACGAUGCCUGUCUAGUUUAACAUCCCAAAGACAACCACAUGUAAGGAAGAUGAUAUUGCACAUCCCUGAAUACUAUGAAGGACUGCAGUGAAGACCAAGACCCAAAUUACUGCUAACAAAUCUCCUCCAGGAAUGGCAGCCAGUGGUCAGAGGGAGGCGAAGCACCACUGACCUUGCCAGCACCUCUGCACAGAGUUGCACCAGUUGUAAAGCAUCACAGGGGAAAUGCCUGAGAUUUCCUCCAACAGACAGAAAAACAGACAAGUGCACUCUAUGAUUCAGAUUCCCAAGAGUCCAAUAUGUGGGCUCAGCUUGCAGUCACUUUGUCAGCACAGCUGCCAGCAUCAACUCCCUCUUCUUCCAUACAGUCCUGAAGCCCAUGGACCCUUCAUUCCUUCAGAACUGCUACUCUUCUGAAAACUUUAGCUGAAGAUUUCCAAGAGUUUGGAUGUCAUGAGGGUGGCCAAGAAGAAGGAUAAACAUAGGCAGAGACAGACACAAUGACCACCUCAACUUCCUCCCUAGGAAACCAAGCUAAAAGAGGAAACACAUUUUCAGAAUUAUGCGCUGAGCUUCUUUCUGUCAAGUGGGUGGGUCUUAGUUUUAAUGUAAAACACUAACUGAAUUAAACCUGCUUUGAUUAAAUACAGCUAAUUUUGAAACGUGUGUUGGAGCACUGCAGUGCUUCUGAAUGCAGAGUUUUUAAGACACUGACAAGAACGUACUGAAUUUUUUUUCCAAUCUAUUUCAAUUACACUUUUAUAAUGGCAGAAUAAUGGCAAGAUUAGUCUGUUUUAUCAUGAUUAAAUCUUGAUUAACAUAUUAAAUAACCAUUGUACACUAAUUAACUCUAUUAAAUACAAUGUCCAAUACAUUGUUCUACUUCUGUAGACUUCCAAUGAAAAAGUAACUAUCAUUAGUAUGGUUAUUUCUUAUACAGUGUUUUUAGGAUCUAACACGGAGUUUCACUAUGGACGAAAUACCUAAAGGUAUGAUUUUGAUAAGCUGUUUGGGAAGACUUUAUUUUGAAAGAAAUUUCCAGAUAAGUUACAAUAUGAACAGAGAAAAAUACAUUAUUUAAGAGAGCAUUUCCAAACAUGCCCUAUGCAAUCUGAACACUGAGGAUAUAAAAUUUAAAUCUAUACUCUUGUAAGGACAGCAUGAAGUUGAAUUUUAGAUAACUUUCCAGUUCAAUUAUGUGAAGUGGCAUUACAGUAUUUUACAGGAUGCACAAAUGAAAAGCCAUUACCAAGGAUUUGUCAUUAUUUCACAACUGUGAACAACUCUAGGCAAGGCUUUUAACCAGCAGUUAAAAACUCCCUUGUGUCUACGUCUUGCAGUAACUUUUUAUUCCACUGGAAACACUUUAAACAUCUAGUUUCCUCUGUCAAGAGCACUCACAGGAACUCAGACAUCUGCAGUCUGAUUUCCUUGUAUAACAAACAUCCUCUCAAAAUACAAAAUGAGAGCAGCCGUCACUGUAAGCCAACACAUUUAUGCCAGGUUUUCAGCCAACUCUUAAAUACAGUUCGGGGGUUUUGUGCACAAAAACAUAUGGAAUGAACUGACAUGAAUAAAAAAUAGAUUUUUAAAAUCUG